rnacentral:rRNA from 1 species
UACGUAGGGUGCGAGCGUUGUCCGGAAUUAUUGGGCGUAAAGAGCUCGUAGGCGGUGUGUCACGUCGGCCGUGAAAACCUGCAGCUUAACUGUGGGCGUGCGGUCGAUACGGGCAUCACUGGAGUUCGGCAGGGGAAACUGGAAUUCCUGGUGUAGCGGUGAAAUGCGCAGAUAUCAGGAGGAACACCGGUGGCGAAGGCGGGUCUCUGGGCCGAUACUGACGCUGAGGAGCGAAAGCGUGGGGAGCAAACAGG